rnacentral:rRNA from 1 species
GACGAACGCUGGCGGCGUGCUUAACACAUGCAAGUCGAACGGAAAGGCCCUGCUUUUGUGGGGUGCUCGAGUGGCGAACGGGUGAGUAACACGUGAGUAACCUGCCCUUGACUUUGGGAUAACUUCAGGAAACUGGGGCUAAUACCGGAUAGGAGCUCCUGCUGCAUGGUGGGGGUUGGAAAGUUUCGGCGGUUGGGGAUGGACUCGCGGCUUAUCAGCUUGUUGGUGGGGUAGUGGCUUACCAAGGCUUUGACGGGUAGCCGGCCUGAGAGGGUGACCGGCCACCUUGGGACUUAGGUACGGCCCAGACUCCUACGGGGGGCAGCAGUGGGGAAUAUUGCACAAUGGGCGGAAGCCUGAUGCAGCAACGCCGCGUGCGGGAUGACGGCCUUCGGGUUGUAAACCGCUUUCGCCUGUGACGAAGCGUGAGUGACGGUAAUGGGUAAAGAAGCACCGGCUAACUACGUG